UGGGGAAUAUUGCGCAAUGGGCGAAAGCCUGACGCAGCGACGCCGCGUGAGUGACGAAGUCUUUCGGGAUGUAAAACUCUGUCAAUGGGGACGAUAAUGACGGUACCCAUAAAGGAAGCCCCGGCUAACUACGUGCCAGCAGCCGCGGUAAUACGUAGGGGGCGAGCGUUAUCCGGAUUUACUGGGCAUAAAGAGCAUGUAGGCGGUAACUUAAGUCAGAUGUAAAAGUCCUCGGCUCAACCGAGGUUCGGCAUUUGAUACUGAGAUACUAGAGAUCAGGAGAGGAAAGCGGAACUCACAGUGUAGCGGUGAAAUGCGUAGAUAUUGUGAGGAACACCAGUUGCGAAGGCGGCUUUCUGGACUGAAUCUGACGCUGAGAUGCGAAAGCGUGGGGAGCAAACGGG
rnacentral:rRNA from 1 species